AAUAUUACGUAAACAAAUGAAGGUAGCUUCCUGUUCCUUGUUGUCCCUUUUUGUAAAACACACUUUUUUUCCAGCCGGGGGAACACAGUGUGGAGCCUGCAGUUAUGCAGAUACAGGGUGUUUUCCCUGCUGCAUAUCGCCGCAUCAGCAGCAGCUUCAGAGGCGGACGGAGGAGGCUGUUAAUUACUAUGAUAGUGAAAGUAAGAAGGCUUGUCACAUUAGUCCCCAGGUGGCGCUGACAAAAGAGGGUGAUUUACAUGAAGCAUAUGAUGGAGGCGAGCAUAUGAGGGACUCAUCAGAUUCGAUGUGAACCAGCAAAGGUCAUGAAAUGAAGGAGACAGAUGAAGCACUGGGACCGAUGACGCAGCAAAGAGAAUAUGAUGUUUUUCUUCUCAGCUCCUCAAUAACAGAAGUCUCUGAGACGUCCGCUGAUCCUUAUCGGCCGCCCUCAACCCGUCCCCCUAAUCACUCCAGAUGUGAUAAGUGAAUUGUCCAUCUCCUCUGAUCUUUCCAUCUGAUAGAAAAACUCCGCUUCCUCUUCUCCGGGGGGCACAAUUGGCCUCCGCCGAAGCGCCACCGUUUCCCGCGCUCACAUCUGCACCCCAGCUCUGAUCAUAUCGCUCCAGUUCAGCGAGAGUAACAGGAGAGAUCACACAGAGUCAAUUGCCUGUCAUGAUACAUUGGUUG
rnacentral:lncRNA from 1 species